ACAUAAGGAUUCCCUAGUACGGCGAGUGAGCGGGAAGAGCUCAAAUUUGAAAUCUGGUGGCCUCAGGUCAUCCGAGUUGUAAUCUAUAGAAGUGUUUUCCGUGCUGGCUCAUGUACAAGUCCCUUGGAACAGGGCGUCAUAGAGGGUGAGAAUCCCGUCCUUGACAUGAACUACCAGUGCUCUGUGAUACAUUUUCAACGAGUCGAGUUGUUUGGGAAUGCAGCUCAAAAUGGGUGGUAAAUUCCAUCUAAAGCUAAAUAUUGGCGAGAGACCGAUAGCGAACAAGUACCGUGAGGGAAAGAUGAAAAGCACUUUGGAAAGAGAGUUAAACAGUAUGUGAAAUUGUUGAAAGGGAAACGAUUGAAGUCAGUCGUGCUCUUUGGAUUCAGCCGGUUCUGCCGGUGUACUUCCUUUGAGUGGGGUCAACAUCAGUUUUGAUCGCUGGAUAAAGGCUGGAGGAACGUAGUACCCUCGGGUAAACUUAUAGCCUCCUGUCACAUACAGUGGUUGGGACUGAGGAACGCAGCACGCCUUUAUGGCCGGGAUUCGUCCACGUACGUGCUUAGGAUGUUGACAUAAUGGCUUUAAACGACCCGUCUGA
rnacentral:rRNA from 1 species